rnacentral:lncRNA from 1 species
UCUAGCGCUCGAGGUGGGUGGCCUCCUGCUCCGGCGUCGCGGCGAAGUGGAUGGGGGGCGCGCUCACCCACUCGCGAUACUAGCCCGUCCACGUGUAGGCCUCCUCCGGCCAAGUGGGUGGAGGCGGGGAGCGCUUCCGCGUCGCCGGCUUGGGCUGGAUGGUGGCGAUGGUGCUUCCGCACGCGUACUUAAAAAAGGAUGCUUCCUGAGGCUCACAAGUGGGCCCGCUGUCGGUGGUCGUCAUAAAUAAGACGACCGGUGUCGGCUAGGUGGCCUAUAGGUGGGAACGCGGUGGACGUCGAGGAGACGCGCGGCGCGUCCGCUCCGCGUCCGCGCCGACGCAUUCCAGGCGUAAUUUUGGGACGGAAAUGGAUCUACGUGGACGCCAGACGGACGCGAUUUGCGUUUGGGUCGGCACGUUGGGCCUCCACUUUUAUCCGCGUCGACCCAAACAGACGCAUGCGGAUGAAAUGGGUCGUUCCAUUGAAGUCGUUCUAAUAUCUCAGCAUAUCAUUAGGUUAAAAACCAUGUUGAGUGCUCAGAUCAAGGUUUUUAAUACAUCAACUCACUCCGUUAUUUAAGAAGUACAGUAGGUUCCCCUUUGUAUCUUUUUCGUUGAAAUGGAAGAUUGCCUCGGGCUCUGCAUUAGUACGAUGCAUGCAGCCAUGCUAUUAAACAAAUAGUUAAUAGUUAAUAUGGUAUGUUGUUUGAUACAAACUCGUAAGAAGAGCGAAAAUGCAUUAAACAUUAAAAGUGUCACAACCAGUGAAAAUAAAAAAAGAUGACUAAAUACCUAGCCUAUUGUUGGAUCAUCAUCCAAAUUGCUUGUAAGUAUCUCGUGCAACCGUCUCCUAACGGUUGCAUCCAAUAGCCAUAUGCUUCUUGACUCAGGCAUGGCCGAGUAAGGGUCACAUACGGAUUCAAGCAGUUGCUCUGUAGAUGACCUGAAAAAUAAUGUAAUAAUUUGUGUGUUAAAAAUCACAUCAUUUCAACAGUUCAAUAUAAGCUCAAAGUAAUGCACACACUCUGACUUAAAUAUGUGCCGCAGUUUUAGACUUUACUCUAGGUAGCCAAGUCCCAAAUAGGUGGUUAUAUUAUUGGAAGGACUGGCCUUAUAGGCCACAUGUCCCUCGUAUAUCUACCUAUAUUUGGUUAAAAAGACGUACAGGAAAACAUAAGAACAUAAAAGAAAUUAAUACAAGGUCACAAGCUCUCUACAAUAAGUCAGAAGAAAGCCUCUUGCAGCCCUUUGUAUGUUUUCCUUCUAGAUCAGAAACCAGCUAUUUCAUUUCCACUUUAAAUCUCCACCGGCGUAUGUACAGAUUUGGCUGUAGACCUUGGAAAACGAAGUCAUUUCUAGCAUUUCAGAUGAUUCAUGUCACCAUGAUGAUGAUCUUUAUAAAAGGAAGAGGCAGAUGCAACCUCUGCUUUCUUCUUGGAAGUGUCUUAGCAACUUUUUUUCAUGAGUACGCAAAUUUUGUGUAUAUUUUCAUUGAUAGAAGAAGAAAAAGCAAGACCAAAAUAUGAUACAACACAUGACACGAAUGCAAGAAGACGUAGACAUAAUGCGCAUAGCAGAGAGACAUGGAAUGCUGGGACCAAACAGAGGAAACGACACGACAAAACUCGCCUAGCAUUGAGAAGCUUCCCAAAUAAACCAUGACGACCAACAUCUCCAAUUCCAUCGGCUGGGAUGCCACAAGCGAACAAGACAUCACCUUCCUAAAGGGGAACAACGUCAAGAUGCGGUCGUCGUCUAGUUCGAAUAAUCCGCCUAGAGUUUCCCUUGAUGCUCAAAGAUGGAAAAGAUGAAAGCUAUGGCAGCACCUCCAGGAAGGUGGUGACGGCACCCGUAGGUGCCACCGCUACCAGCAUCGGCAAGCCGAGCAGGGAUAUUGCACUGGCCUUGGUCUGAGAAAACCAAGCGUUGGGAUAGACAUUAGAGAAGAGGAAGUCAAGUCACGAGCCAAAAACUUCAUCGCGGGAAGGGGAGCUGCGCUCGCCACCGAAGGAGGCACCAGACGCAUAUGGAUGGACGGGGUACAGAUUUGGCGGGAGCAUGGGCGAGGCUCAGAUGUGGGCGGGGUUGGGCGGUCGGGCGAAGAGAGGAACGAUGCAGGGGAUGCAACGACGGGCAGUGACAUGGACUGUCGAUAAACAAAAUGCAUAAGUUGGGACCAAAGACUAUGGAGUCUGUUUUUCAAGGCUAUGCCAAACAUAAAAUUGGCUAUAGUUUUCUUGUGAUGAAAUCUGACAUACCUGACGUGAAGGUUGGUACGAUCAUGGUGUCUAAAGACGCUACAUUCUUUGAGGAUAUUUUUUCCAUGAGAGAUAUGCAAAGCACUUUUAGACUGAAAUUUAAUGAGACUUGUGAACCUGUCAUUCUGGUGGAAUAAUAUGAAUGAACAUGUGAUGAAAAUAUUGAGGGGGUGACGAGGAAGCUCUUGGUAGGGGUAAGAGAUACAUGACUGCAAAGUCCUUUGAUGGUGAUUUACUUGUAUACCUCAUGGAUGAUACUCCCACUCUCAUUCACAAGAUUAUGCAUCUUCGGAUGCUGACUAUUGGAAGGAUGCAAUCCGUAGUGAGAAAGAUUUCAUCUUGGCUAACGGGACAAGGGAGGUCGCUGACCGUGCCUAUGGAAAAUCAAUGGGAUACAAGUGGAUGUUCGAAAGGAAGAUUAGGCUUGAUGGUACGAUUGAAAAGUACAAGAUUUGGCUUGUGGUCAAGAGUUAUACACAAAAAUAAGAAGAAGAAUUCUUCAAUACAUGCUCACAUGUGGCCAGACUAGCAACCAUUUGAGUGUUACUCAUGUUUGGCUGCCUCCCACGGUCUCCUCAUCCAACAGGUGGAUGUUAAGACGACUUUCUUAAACAGAGAGAUAGGCGAGGAAAUUUACAUGCCACAACCAUAUGGAUUUGUAUUGAAUGGAAUUAAAGAUGUGUAAGUUAUUGAAAUCUUUCUAUGGUCUGAAGCAAGCACCUAAGCAAUGGCAUGACAAGUUAGAUAAAAACAAUUGACAUCUGCUUCCUUUGUUGUGAAUAAAGCUAGCAAAUGUCUAUACUAUCGUCAUGGUGGGAGUCAAGGAUUUAUCAUGUGUAUGUAUAUCGAUGGCAUACUAAUAUUUGGAACCAACCUCAAAAUGGUUGAGGAGGUUAAGGACUUUGCUUUGAAAUGAAAUACCUAGGUGUGAAUGAUGUUGUCUUGAACAUCAAGCUAAUGCGAGUGUAAUUACACUUCUUCAAUCCCACUAUGUUGAGAAGAUUUUGAGUCAUUUUGGCUAUUUGAACUACAAACCUUCUCCAACACCAUAUGAUCCUAGUGUGCAGAUUUAAAAGUUUGAACGAUCGGCUAUAGAUUAGAUGAGAUACUCACAAGUUAUUGGUUCACUCAUGUACCUAGCUUGUGCUACUCGGCCUAACAUCUCUUUUGUUGCGAGCAAACUGAGCCGGUUUGUUUCCAAACUGGGAGGUGUGUAUUGGAAUGUUGUUGAAAGAGUCAUGUGCUAUUUGCAAGGUACUUUGAGCCACAAACUUCACUAUAUCGGGUACCCAACGACACUUGAGGGGUAUAGUUAUGUGAAUUGGAUCUCUGAUGCUGAUGAGAUGAAAGCCACAAGUAUGUAUGUGUUUGCACUUGAUGGUGGUGGUGUUUCCUGGCAGUCUCGCAAGUAGACAAUCUUAACGAGAUCGACUAUGAAAGUAUAACUCACAACAUUGGACACAACUUGUGUUAGAGCAGAACAGCUUCAAGAGCUUUUGAUGGAUUUGUUAGUGGUUCCCAAGCCAGUUUCGGCUAUAUAUCCUUAUGAACUAUCACAAUCAGACAGUGAUUGUCAAGGCAAAGAGUUCAAAGAAUAACAUGCAAUCCAUAAAGCACAUAUGAAGAAGACUGAAAUUUAUGAGGCAUUGAAGAAACUCCAGAGUUAUAGCGUUGGAUUAUAUCCAGUCGGCUAAGAAUCCGGUACGUCCCUUCAUGAAAGGGCUAUCACAUGUUGUGAUAGAAAAUGCAUCGUCUGAGCUUGGUAUGACACCCACAUGAGUUGCCAUGAUGGUAACCCAACAUGUGUGAUCAAAGAUCCCACGGAUUAGUACCAGAGAAAAACAAACAGUGGUUAACUAAGUAGAGUAUCUUUACUACCCCAUGUCAUUGGAGAUGCAAUAUUUUCACAAUAUUUAAGGCAUGUUGGCAUUUGUCUUAAUGUGUUCUGAAGCUCGUGUAAGCAAGAUGCUAUCCCACAAAGCGAUUUUUGGAGGAGCACACGUAUGUGACCCCGACUCCUCACAAUCUAUGAGAUAUGAUAAUCUCUAGGAAGCUCAUAAACAGAUUAGAAGUGUGACUAAUAUGCUCCACCGUUGGGGUUAGACUUCAACAAUCAAGUAUAAUCUCAUAAUUGGUGCAACUUCUGCACGCUCAAUUAAAAAUUCAAGGCAUAGUCCAUUAUCAAAUUGCCAAGAAGUCUAGUCUUUUUCUCUAGGUGGAUGUUCAACCCUAACCGUUCUCUAGGUGGAUGUUCUCUAGGUGGAUGUUCAACCCCAAUUGUUCUCGCUAGCUGGAUAUGUUGUGUUCAUGAUUUGAUUCUAUGUUCUGUCCUGGCUGCGUCGAAUUUCCCUUGUCGCUCUCGCGGGCGGCAGGGCGAACCCUAGCCACCGCCGGUCAGGACUCCCCCCCAUUCCCCCUCCUCCCUGUCGUCUCGAGAUGGCGCCUCCGGGAGAAACCUGGUGGCAUCGCUGGCGGCAGGGCCUCCUUUCCUCCGUAUCUGGUGAGAUGCGGUGCGAGACGCAGGUCCCUGAAGAGGAGCACGCCGUUUGCACGGGACGGCGCGACGGCGACUUGGGCAGCGUGCCGAUGGUGCUGUUGUUUGGCAGAGCGGCCGUGGCUGCGUGAAAUCUGGUGGCAUGGAUCUGUGUGUGGGGAAGGAAAGUUUGCACACUGCGGCGGCACUCCUUCAUCAGAUCCAGACGACAGGGGCCACUGGCGUCCGGCUAGGCUGGGCCAUCUUCCGGUGUGGUGGCAUGUCAGUAGGUGUGCUGCUGGCGGGGGUCAUCCUCGUUGCCCCGUGGGGCUGGGGUUGGGAGCGGGGUGCAGGCGGGCCUCGACUUUGUUUGGAGGGGGUGUGGUUGGUGGCGUGCCAUGCCUAGGUGCAUGGGUGCUCUCGGCAAGCCCCGCCCGGAUCUGGAGUUGCCAGAUCUUGCGGGUGGCACCGUUUGCCCUCCCGCGGCGGUGGGCAGCAGUGUGGGGAUGGCCACCGUGGAAUUCUCCUUGUUUGUGGCGUUUGCCUCUUCCGAAGUCUCGAUUUUUUUCUCGUCUCCUCUGUCCGGGUCGAGGUUUGGCGGGUGGCGCGGUCCUCGGGUUCUUUUUACUCUAAGGUGAUGUUCUGCCGGUUGACAAUCCUUAUGGACAAUUGACGAGUUCCGGAAUGCUUCGCAAAAGAUCUUCACUAGGUGCUUGUCGCCUCUAGAUUGCUGGAUCGAAUUGGAUUUGGUCGUGUGCGUCUCAAUUUCACACCGAGUGGCUUCGGGAGAGUGUGGUGCGAAGUUUUGGUUUAUGUUGAUGUUAUGGGACACGUCGGUAUUUUGAUUUCCAUGGUGAAGACAGUGACGGAGAACGUCAUGGCGACUGAGAUCCAAUGCCUUGUAAUGGCGGAUCAAGUCAUCGCAACAAUGAGGACUUUGUUUGGUGAUUCGUAACUCGUAGCAGCGGUAUCGGCAAGUGGGGGCGCCAACACACGCGGAGUACAGAGUCUUAGCUUUCAGAUGAAAACCAAAGGCCUGGCCUUAAUUGGUUGUGUCUGGCAGUGAACUUGUUGAAGGCAUUGUUUUGAGAGUGCAUAUCUUCUCCAAGAUGAAAACCUAAUAUCUACAAUCGGGCGGUGACAGUGCUUGUGCACUGUUUCCUUUUUGAAGGAGUUGCUUUUGAAGAAUUUGGACUUCGGUGAUGUCUAGGUGGUGGUUCAUGCUGCAGCCACAAGAAAUCGAUCUCUGUAGCGGGAUCUUUUCUUUAUUUAUAUACCUUUUGGUUGUAUGCAUCUGUAAUGUCUUUACGACAUUGCGUUGUUGCGAAGACGUAAUUGAUAUAUUUAUGAUAUUAAUUUAUUCUUCUUGUAAUAAAUGUUCAGUCCGGGCUUACAUGUUUAUGUUCCGCUAUGAGCUUCAUAACGUACUUGUCAUGUUCAUGUUUUGGUUAGGGAUUAAAUCAAUCACAAAAGUGCUAAUAUAUCCAGCAGUUUCUUACUUCUCCACUAGCGAUGCCCAGCUAAACCCUUGUAAAUAUUAACUCUUUUAGUUCAUCCUAGAGCCUUGUAAAUAUUAACUCUUUUAGUUCACCCUACUCUAGGGUUGUUUCUUUUUUCUCUACGGGCUAUGCCUAACUAAACCCUUGUGUGUUCCAACUAUCUUAAUUAAAUGAAACAGUCUCUAGUUUUCGAUAAAAAAUAUUUGAAGGUGUUUCUUUUUAUCGAAGAUAUUUAUAACAUGACUUAUUGUGAAUUGGAGGGAGUAUCUUAUCUAUUAUGGACUCCACUAUAUGUAGCGGCGCGGCACGUGCGCCUUGCCGCAUGGCGGCCCAACUAAUUACCAAUGUAAUGUAGCAUGCAAAAUUAGUGCCUUCCCUCCGCUGCUUUACUUGAAAAAGCCUGUCAUGUCGUAGAAAAUCCACGCUCUAUCUCUCCCAUGCAUGCACGCAAUGUUGUCAUCAUAAUUUCCUCUCAUGUUUGAAAUUCAAAAAGUUUUAUCUCUAAAACAGUUAAUUUGAUAGACGUUCUGUUUUCAGCAUUGACUUUGUUGUGACGAGAUCUUUGAAACUAGAUCCCAUAUUGACAUGUUUUGACAACAAAAAAAUCCGUCCGUACUUACCAUAUUGUUGCAUGUACUUGUCAUAUUUUUAAACACUCACUUGUCUGACAAUAAAUAACUUAAUUCCCAUAUUUUUACAAUUGCAUGUAAAAUAUGACACUUUGAAUUAAUUAAUUGCAAGCAGACAAAAAUCUUUUUUGGCAAUGACAUGUAAAAAGUUGACAACUCAUCAUAUCUAAAAUUGGCAAGCACAAUAAAUCAUUACUGGCAAUCACCUGUAAACAUGUCAAAAAAUGUAUGGUUAUAACCACCAAAGGAUAACAAAUCAUGGCAAUUACUUAUAAUAAAAAUCACAAUUCGAGAUAGUUAAACUGGCAAGCACAUCUAUGACAUUGUUUUGAAAAAGCUAUCUUUGAUAUGCAUGCAGAUUGAGAGGUGAUAGUACAAAAAAAUGAUGACAGUUUAUAAAUGCAGCUAAUUAGCUCCCUGCCUUUAGCAAAUGCGAGUAGGUGAGUAGCAAAGUAAACAAAACGCAAUGUAGCGUAGCACUGUAGCAUUUAGCAUAAAGUAUUGUAACUAGACAGUGACAUGUACACAUUAUAACAUCGACGGGGCCACCGCAUGCAAACGUGGUUGUGCGUGCCUGCCGGCCGCAUGAAAAGGACGCCAUGCGGCGUCUUUAAUUUAGAUUCUCCCAUUUAUUAUUAUUGUUAUUUCAUAGAAAUACCCGUAUUACUCACAGAAAAAAAUCAUGUCCAUUUAUUUUUCACUCAGACCGAUUUAUAACAGAGAAUUGAUCUCAAACUUUUGUGCCCUUUAGUGCUGUAUUAGCGUAAGUUUUUUUCUGAGAAUCGUAUUCUAUUAGACGUGUGCGACUAAUAAUAGUAAUCAAUCAAAUUUUGUUGUUCAUCCUAUUCAUGGUUGUUUUUUUAACCAAGAAACUAUUUUCAUACAUAAAUGUAAAUAAAAAAGUAUGUUACACAAGGUGAGGAAAAAAAUAGAAAAAAAGGAAAAGAGUGCAAAAGAAUAUGAUACGACUAGCAAAUUCCUGCUCUAGGGAAACACUCCAUUGAUUAGAGGUUAUUAUCUACUCACUGUCUGAACAUUUAACACUCGACACGGUGUUAUUUGCAACUAUAACCUGUAGCAUACUCUAUUGUCGUGUCAAGUAUGAGCUACGGUACUUUUCUUUUACUGGAUAACAAAGACAUGAAGACUGUUGUGUUUUGUUCAUUACUGUAGUUGGAUUCUCUGAAAUCGAUCCAAUGCCUCACCGAGUAUGAUUAUUCCAGGUUUUGGCCACUUUUUCAGUAGGAAGGGUGGUAGCAUCCGGGCACCCGAAUUUCAAGUCGGGUGAUCUUGUUUGGGGCAUGAGCGGAUGUGAAGAAUACACUUUGAUCACUAAUCCAGAGUCUCUUUUCAAGAUCAACCAUCCUGAAGUGCCUCUGUCGUACUACACUGGUGUUCUUGGUGAGUAAACUUUUUAUUUUGUCAGAAGCAAAGUGCCAUAUUUAAUCUCAAAAUUUCAUUUUUCAUCAAAUGAAGCACGUACUUGCUUUUCUCAUUGACUAUAUCUGGUUCACAAACCAGAAUUUUGGUACAAGCUAGCGAAUAAAACUCUCUUUUCUUUCAUAUAAAAUAAAGAUCGACCAAGGUUCUUUCGAUUCACAAAGCAGAAUUGCAAGAGUUCCCAACUUCUACCUAUGGCACCCUAGUUUUUCUGAACACUAUAUGGCACCCUAGUUUGUCACCAUUUAUUUGUUCACUUUACCUUGUGGUGAUGUUAAUUGGCAUGCUUGACUACUUGUUUUACAUAAAACAACUUAUAUAUAGAAACUACAAAUGAACUUUCCAAAAUUCUGGAAACAUGUACUCCCUCCGUCCCAAAGUAAGUGUCUCAAGCUUAGUACAAAUUUAUACUAGAGCUAGUAGAAAGUUGAGACACUUAUUUUGGAACAAAGGGAGUACAUGGUAUGCUAGUUACUUAAUGUGGACAGGAAUUGGAAUAAAGAUACACUAUUGGACAGUAAGGGAAUACACUAGUCCGAACUCUCAUAAAUCUAAGAUGGAGAUUCAUAUAUGCAUGCACCUUCCUUCAAGGAAUCAUACCUUGGAAUUUGACAGCGACAAAUCAAAAUGGAUGGCAACGUGCGGCAGGCUUGGUGAACCAUCUUGAAAUCAUUCAAAUACAAAAGAACCAAAAUGGAUGGCUAAAUUACAUGUAGCAAAAGAAUAAGACAUGAAGCUGGUCACUGCUAUGAUUUAGGCUCUUUGCCCCAAAACGGAAAUUGGUAUGAUCUAAGCUUAUCUUCUGUAUAGUCUAACAUGCGAGGUUACUACCUCUAGGCUCUAGCGAUGUUUAAAAUUUGAUAAAAUACACUAUUUAUUUUUUCAUUAAAUUUCCAAGAACUUUGCUAAUGCAGGCAUGGCUGGACUUACUGCAUAUGCUGGAUUUUUCGACAUAUCAAAACCUAAGAAAGGUGACUAUGUUUUCGUGUCAUCAGCGUCGGGUGCUGUCGGGCAGCUUGUUGGACAACUUGCCAAGAUCAAUGGGUGCUAUGUGGUUGGCAGUGCUGGUUCCGAUGAGAAGGUCUUUUUUUGUUUGCAUACUCAUUUUUUCACUUGUUUUGUCUCACUGAGAUGGUCUAAUAGUUCACUCCCACACUUGAACGAUGAAUUGGUUGAACAACUUCAGGAUAUAUUUUUUUCACUGACCUAAAAUAUACUCCGUCAUGGUAUGAAAAUUAAUGUGAUGGCUUUUACAAUGGUUUCAUGAUUUAACAUAGGGAUCACAAUACUAGUUAUUUCUAGUAACUGGAUUAUAUUCGAGUAUUCCAUUGAGAAGAAGAAAGUCGAAUGUAUGCACAAUUUCAACGGUAACCAUUUUAUAGUAACCUCUGGCCAAUUGGCAAGGUGCUAUUUACCGUUCUUGUCCUCUUGCCAAAGAAAUCCUAGCCCUAAAGAAGUUAAUCAGUGUAAUCAAUUCAUUAUGGAUUAAAAAGAUGGAAAGCAUGUAGUCGGGAACAUUACUCAUACAAGUUCCAAGUGGAGCCAUUUUACCUCCUGAAGUCAGAAAUCUAGCAUGCAAGUAACAAGUUAUCCUCACUUUCUCUUCUAUGGUUUUAAUAUUAUGUGGAGGAAUGCAAAAGUCCCAUGGUUGACUUUGAAAGGUAAAAGUAUGAGAAAUUUGCUUUUGUCUUUAUGGUAACCUCAGGUCAAUCUCCUAAAAACCAAGUUUGGCUUCGACGAUGCUUUUAACUACAAGAAGGAAGAGGACCUCAACGCCGCACUAAAGAGGUCUGAAAGCCAUUUUCUUUAUCUUCUAAGUUCCAAAUAUCGCCGAUGGCUGCUAACCUCUUUCACAAAAACGAAAUGAAAGCUAAACAUAGUUCUCUCCCUCUUGAUAUUUCCUUUUAGAUGCUUCCCGCGGGGCAUCGACAUCUACUUCGAGAACGUCGGCGGCGCGAUGCUAGCCGCGGUGCUGCCCAAUAUGAGGAUGAAUGGCCGUAUCGCCGUCUGUGGGAUGAUCUCGCAGUACAACCUGGAGCAGCCGAAUGGUGCCCCUAACCUCUUCUGCCUUGUUGCCAAGCGCAUCCGCAUGGAGGGAUUCAUGGUUCUGGACUAUUUCGGCACCUACAACAAAUUUGAGGAGGAGAUAGUGGGUUACCUCAAGGAAGGGAAGAUCACAGUUGUUGAGGAUGUUGCGGAGGGGAUCGAGAACGUGCCGACGGCGCUCAUCGGACUCUUCUCCGGGCGCAACAUUGGGA